GGAUCAGUUCGCUGGUCGUGCCUCUGGUAUGUACUGGUGUUACUGGUUCCUCCCUUCUGACGAACUGUCAUGUCAUUUAUUUGGUGUGGCAGGGAAUCAGGACUGUUACUUUGAAAAAAUUAGAGUGUUUAAAGCAGGCUCGCGCUUGAAUACAUUAGCAUGGAAUAAUGAGAUAGGACUUUGGUGCUAUUUCGUUGGUUGCGCACUGAGGUA
rnacentral:rRNA from 1 species